rnacentral:rRNA from 1 species
GACGUAGGGGGCCAGCGUUGUUCGGAAUUACUGGGUGUAAAGGGUUCGUAGGCGGCUUCUUAAGUCAGGGGUGAAAUCCUGGAGCUCAACUCCAGAACUGCCUUUGAUACUGAGGAGCUUGAGUCCGGGAGAGGUGAGUGGAACUGCGAGUGUAGAGGUGAAAUUCGUAGAUAUUCGCAAGAACACCAGUGGCGAAGGCGGCUCACUGGCCCGGUACUGACGCUGAGGUGCGAAAGCGUGGGGAGCAAACAGG